CAGUCUAAGUCAUCAAAAGGUCAACAUACAGUAUUCUAUCAUAUGCAAACUUAUAUCAUUAAAAGCUUAUACUGACUACUAAGUACAAUUUUCCAUUGACAGACAUAAAACGGAUUCAUCCCUUUAGGUUCCUCUUUAAUGUUUGAAUAAGUCAGGUCAGUGUUUGUUCCUCAUAAAACUGUGAAGACCUUGAACAUCUCAUCACAGUAUAAACUACAUGUUUAUACACUACAUAUGCCCAGGAAGACUUCCAGAAAUGACUGUCUUCCAGAGGUAGGAAGUAACAAAGGUAUUUGUACUUUAUUAUCUAUUUUUUUACUUUUGCACCCUACAUUUUUACACAAAUAUUUGUUAUUCCUCUCUCCCUGCUUGCGUCAUACAGAUUCAAGCUGAGUACAUUCAUUAGAAUUACAAUUUAGAUGAAGAAGUAUAAUCCUGUUAACAGCAAGAAAAUGACAUUUAUUUGUGUUGAUUUCAGUAUAGAUUUGUUGAAUCCAACUGCGAACAGCACCAUCACUGAUUUCAUUCAUACUGUGAUGGACUAGCAGCAAAGGAAACUUAGGCACAGGUUAAAGUCCAAAAACAGGAUUUUUUUUAUUUAACCCAAAAACAUAAUUGGUUAAAUCAUUCAAAAAGAAUCAAAAUCUUGGGCCCAUAAAAGAGGUCAAAAUUACAGAACUCUACUCAAAGUUAACAAACAAUACUGAUAACUCAAACAAACUGACCUAACUUAACGAGACAAAGGGGAAACUUAAAUAGUGGCUGACCAGCCCACAAAAAACACAAGGGGUAAAACACACAAAAAACCGAACUGAAACUAACAUAAUGAACUCCAAUUUCCCCCCAUGGUCCCGAGUUAUGGAAUGAGCAAAUUUGCAGUUUUCCAUCAAGGCUUGCUCCGCCCCUUUUCCACCUCUUGGCUCCUCAAUCAAGGGACUGGAGCAGCUGCAACUAAGUUUUUGCAACAUUACAGAACCAUGCCAGGAUUAACAGAUGUGAACCUAAUAAGAAAUUAAUUGGACAUAAAACACAAGAAGCAAUUUGCUGCCUCAACAGCCAAGACUGGAGUAAUAUCUAUGUUCAAGAUGUUGAUGUGGCAUUUGAAAACUUCUUUUCUAUAAUAUUAACUCUGUCCCCUGGUGAGUAUAACGAAGAAAACCAAAAACUGAAUACUGAAUGCAUGUAUGAAAAAGAAUCUGUUGUAUUUUUUUUUUAAAAGAAAAGAACAAUAGAAGCUGAACAAACUUAUAAGAGGUAUAAGAAUAAAUUGAUAAAAAUUAUAAGAAGCAGCAAAAGAAAUGACUACAGUAAAGUUUUAGAUGAAAAUAAGAAUAACAUGAAAAACAUGUGGACAAUACUAAAUAACAUUGUAAAUAAAGGAACUAAGGGAUUAGAAUAUCAAAAUAACUUCCAAAUACAAAAUACAAUGAUCAGUGACAUAAAAGAAAUUGCAAAUGGUUUUAAUGACUUUUUUCUUAAUUUUGAUCCUGUCUUGGCUUAAGUAAAAACUGGACACGCUCCUAAAACUAAAACUAUUAAUGUAGCAAACUCAGACUUGUAGCAGACUUAUCAAAGUGUCUGAAAUGUAAAAUUCCAACCUCCCCUUUAGUGUGCUUGUUGGGCAAAUUGGAUGAUGUCACUACAGAAACUAAUACAGUCCACAUGUUUUUUUACUGCCCUAUGCAUUACCAAGAAAACGGUCCUCAAGAACUGGAAAAAUAAAAAUAAUCUUAAUUCUAGCCAAUAUAGAAACCAUCUAAUAGAUCACAUUAGUCUCAAGACAGCCUCUGCCACCACAUUAGAUCAAUCCCUCUGGGCUCCUUUGAUCGGCUCGAUCACCUAGCGGGGGUGGGGGGUCGUGGUUUGGUCCCGCCUUCGCCAUUGUGGUUGAUGUGGAGGUAGGGACAGGCUUAGGGCGUCUGGAGAAUCCCUA